UGGCGUCUCUCACAUCUCUCCGGCUGGAAUCGGAGCUUUCUGUCCCUUUCUCCUGGCCUUUAGGAGUGUGUGACUUCAGCUACGAGACUUCCUUCGGCAGACUCAGUUACCGCGAGGGACGUGGGUGUGUAUGAGGAGAGACGGUCAGGCAAUUGUGGUGAUGCUUAAGGCCUUUGGGUCGUGAUGCACCAAAUCUCAAAGUGGCGUGAGUGGAAGGAGCCCGGAGAUAGCAAAAGCACCCUAAAUGGAGUAGAGGAAAUGCUUUCACUGGCAUUUUAAAAAUCAUCCUCACAGAACUCGGUGAGGUGGACCUUUGGGUCAUACUCAUCUUACAGACCGAGAGGGGCAUCCUGAGAAGUUACUUGCCCAAGAUCACAGAACAGUUCGUAGCAUAGGCACAGCUCAAACCCGAGUCACUGGCUCCCUGUUCAGUUUUCUUUCAAACGAGCUUAGGAUUUAUCUCACUGUUCGGUGUAUCACCACUGUAUAGUGGUUACAUUUUAAAAGUUUUUUUGCAUUCAAGUGUGGACCCUAAGGGGUAGAUUGAGAACUUUUAAAUGGAGGGGGUGGUGCAUAGGAAUUACGGCUGAAAAAAGUCUCUUUUGCCCCUGGUUUCAUACAUGCUGAUGGGUCCUAAGAAAAACCUCACUGAUGGAGAAAACCACUGCUGACUCAGAGGAGACUGGCCAAGCAAGCUCAGAGGCAAAAACUCAAACCACUCCAUGGAUGGAAGAGGAAAGUGAAGUUAAAAGAUGGAACACCUAAAGGUACCUCUCGGUCCAGCACCUUGUUCCUCCCGCAAACAGCUCAGGCUGGAGAGGUGCAAAGACUGCAUGGGGAGACAAGCUAGUCCCUUGGAACUGUGGAGAGGAAAAGAGUCAGCUUCUCAGAGACGUAUGCGGUGUACAGACUCAGCUCGCCUAUGGAGAUGACCAAAAUGGGCACUCCUAGCCUACUUACACCCAAUCCAAGUAAGCCUAGAGCUGAUUUCCUUGUUUUGAUACUGGAAAUACUACAGUACAACCUGAUCCGCUGUUUGUUGAAUCCAAGGAUGCAGAACCGUGGCUGUGGAGGAAAUAACGGAUGUGGAGGAACCACUCCUGAGGAGAGUUGACAAUAUGUUAUACUCAAAUCUUCUACUGCGAGGAGGGUCAGCGACCCGAACCCCCUUAGUUAUUCAAGGUCAACUCUUCUCUCCUAUUGUUAUACACUUAGAUUAUUUCCAAUUUUUACCUAUUGUAAAUAUUGUUGUGACUAGCAUCCUUGAACUUAAAUCUUUGGGCAUAUCCUAAUUAUUUACUAUAGAUAAAUUCCUAAAAGUAAUAUUAUUGGGUCAAAAGACAAAUAUUUUUAAAUAGUCACAUGUGCUAUUACCACCCUAAGAUAACCACUGCCAACAAUUUGAUGCAUAUCUUUAGUCUUUUAAAAAAUGAAUAUGUAUGUGCAUGAAUAUACAUUUUUUUGGCGGGGGGAAGUUGUUACUGUGUUAUGUAUAGGAGGGGAUGUACUGAAGAAUUGUAAGCAGAGGAAUGAUAUGAUCUGUUUUUGUUUGUUUGUUUGUUUUGUCCUGCCACUCAGCUUGCAGGAUCUUAGUUUCCCAACCAUGGAUCGAACCUGGGUCCCGGCAGUGAAGGUGCCAAGUCCUAAUCACUGGACCACCAGGGAAUUCCUGAUUUUCAUUUUAGAAGGAUCACCCUGGCUGCCCCGUUAAAGAUAGACUGCAGUGAACAAGAGCAGAGGCAGAGCCCAGGGCGGAGUCGACAGGUCCGAGCGGCUUGCAGCAGAGGGCAGCAUGGAGGGAGUGAAUGGAGGUCAGAUUCUGGAUAUCUUUUUUGCAGGAAGUCAGACUGGAUGUGCAGUACGAAAGAAAGAAAGCAGUGCAGAUUAACUCCAAGUUCUGGAGGCCUGAGCAAUUGGAAGGAUGACACUGACGUCAAGUGACAGGGGAAAAAGGCUGUAGGUGGAGCAGGCUUGGCGAGAGGGAAGAACAGGAAUUUCAUUUGGAGAGAGUGUUUGAGGUGUCUAGUAGGUAUCCAAGUGGAGAGGUCCAGUGGGCUGCUGAAUACGACUUUCGAGUUCUGGGAUGGAAAGGGGAAAUGAGUUAUGGUACGACAGAACCUAAAUUCAAGAAAGGCUGAAGAACCAGGAAAGCAUUGGUGUAAAUCCCAAUCCAAGUCUGAAGCCAGAGAACAAGUAGCACCAAUGUCCAAGGGCAGAGGAAGAUGGAUGUCCCGGCUUAAGAAGAGACAGAGGGAACUUAUCCUUCCUCUGCCUUUCCUAUUCAGGCCCUCAGUGGAUAGGCUGAUGCCCACCUGCAUUGGUGAGGGUGAUCUUUUUCAUUCAGUCUACUGAUUCAAAUGCUAAUCUCUUCUGGAAACACCCUCCUAGACACACCCAGAAAUAAUGUUUACCAGCUCUCUGGGCACCCCUUAGCCCAAUCAAAUUGACACACAAGAGUAACCAUCACACAGAGAUUCUGGCUUGACCCUCAGUAGAGCUUAUGCAAUGUGGUGCUCUCAGAAUAGAAUUUCUCAAAUUGCAUUACCCAGAUUACUAGUUCAUGAACUCUUAAUAGGGUUCUGUGAAGGAAAAAAUUUCUUUUAAAAAUAUAGAUGUAAUGAAAAUGUCAAACACGCUUGGACAGCUAUUUAUUCUGUGAUAAUUUAUCUUUAAGAAAACAUACACUCCAAACUGCUACCAUUGGGUAUGUAUGGGGAGGAGGUUUUUCCGCUCUCCCCUCUUUAUAUGUUUCUGUUAUAAUGUAUCUAAACCUAAUUCUAACUGACUCACAGCCUGAAACAGAUCCAAAGAUAAUGUUCAGUGGAAUCCAUAUUUGACUUUACAGGUAGCAACUUUGUGACUCAUCAGGGAAAGACAAUAUUGUAUGUAGUGGAACCUACAUAAAGGGAAGGUUUCAUCUGAGUUAACAUCUAGACUGGAACCUGACCAACUUUUUUUUUUUUUUUUUUUUUAUGCGGUACACAGGCCUCUCACUGUUGUGGCCUCUCCCAUUGUGGAGCAC